rnacentral:rRNA from 1 species
CAGUCGCCGCGGGAAUACAGAGGGUGCGAGCGUUAAUCGGAUUUACUGGGCGUAAAGCGUGCGUAGGCGGCUAAUUGAGUCGGAUGUGAAAUCCCCGAGCUUAACUUGGGAAUUGCAUUCGAUACUGGUUAGCUAGAGUGUGGGAGAGGAUGGUAGAAUUCCAGGUGUAGCGGUGAAAUGCGUAGAGAUCUGGAGGAAUACCGAUGAAGAAGGCAGCCAUCUGGCCUAACACUGACGAUGAGGUACGAAAGCAUGGGGAGCAAACAGGAUUAGAUACCCGCGUAGUCCCUGUCUCUUAUAC